rnacentral:misc_RNA from 1 species
UAACAAGGUCUCCGUAGGUGAACCUGCGGAGGGAUCAUUGAAUUAUUAAAACCACACUGUGAACCUCAACGUUUCGUGCUCUGGCUUGCCAGUGAGGGCAUCCGUCAACUGCGUUGGCCACCCUCACAGCUCAGUGGGCAAUGCUGCCGACUGAGUGGCGCCUUAGCAUGCUUAUACACCAGUGCUAACCACUGUUGAAACCAAACUCUGAAGUUGUGAUUGCUAUUAAUUGGCAAUCUUAACCAAAGACAACUCUCAACAACGGAUAUCUUGGCUCUCGCAACGAUGAAGAACGCAGCGAAAUGCGAUACGUAGUGUGAAUUGCAGAAUUCCGUGAACCAUCGAAUCUUUGAACGCAUAUUGCGCUCGAGCCCUCGGGCAAGAGCAUGUCUGCCUCAGCGUCGGUUUACACCCUCACCCCUCCCUCUUUUUGUGGGUCAGUUGGCAUAUUGCCAGCCUAGGGGUGGAUCUGGCUUCCCCAAUCUGCCGCUUGGUGGGUUGGGUUGGCUGAAGUACAGAGGCUUAAGCAAGGACCCGAUAUGGGCUUCAACUGGAUAGGUAGCUCCGGCUUGUGCCGACUACACGAAGUUGUGGCUUGUGGAUCUUGCUAGGAGCCCAGCAGGAACGUGCCUUAGGCA